AAAAAAGAGGAAGAAAAAAGAGGUGAUGAGGCAGAACGAACAAAGUAUAGAAGAGAGGAGGUCAACGGCCGAUCGGCUGUUUUGAGAAUCUCAUAAAAGUAUCCAAAGUCACCCUGGUCAGAACAACAGCCAGUGUGUUUAAUUGACGCAACGACCAAAGCCAAAUCGUAAAAUUUGGUUUUGAAGGUUUUCUUGGAGAUCUUCACGGUACUUUGUCGUUGCAAUAACAAUGCAAAUUUUAUAUUAUGUUUCAAA
ensembl:ncRNA T04F3.9 ncRNA